AGAACGAACGCUGGCGGCAUGCCUAACACAUGCAAGUCGAACGCUCUUGGGGCUUCGGUUCCAAGGGAGUGGCGCACGGGUGAGUAGCGCGUGGGAACCUGCCCUGGAGUGGGGGAUAACCGAGGGAAACUUCGGCUAAUACCGCAUGCGCCCGGGAAACCGGGGAAAGAUUUAUCGCUCUAGGAGGGGCCCGCGUCGGAUUAGCUAGUUGGUGGGGUAACGGCCUACCAAGGCUUUGAUCCGUAGCUGGUCUGAGAGGAUGAUCAGCCACACUGGGACUGAGACACGGCCCAGACUCCUACGGGAGGCAGCAGUGGGGGAUAUUGGACAAUGGGCGCAAGCCUGAUCCAGCAAUGCCGCGUGAGUGAUGAAGGCCUUCGGGUUGUAAAGCUCUUUCGCACGCGAGGAUGAUGACGCUAGGCGUGGAGAAGGAAGCCCCGGCUAACUUCGUGCCAGCAGCCGAC
rnacentral:rRNA from 1 species